rnacentral:rRNA from 1 species
UGGUGUAAAGGAUGAUCCGCCUAAUAAUUUACUUUUAUUAUAUUGGUGUAUAUCUGGUUUAAUAUUAUUGUUGAAUGGCAGAAGUUGUGUAGUGUUAUUUAAGCCAAGUCUAUGUGCUGUUUAUAAAAGUAUUCAUGCGUUACAUUAAUAAGUAUUUAAUUGUAAUAUUAGAUGAUUUAGGACUUAAAAGUAAUGUUUAAUUAAUUAGUAAAUGUGAAAUAA